rnacentral:rRNA from 1 species
GACGAACCGUGCGAACGUUGUUCGGAAUCACUGGGCUUAAAGGGCGCGUAGGCGGGUUCGAUAGUCUGUGGUGAAAUCCUCCAGCUUAACUGGAGAGGUGCCGUGGAUACUGCGAACCUGGAGGAGGGUAGGGGCAUCUGGAACGCUGGGUGGAGCGGUGAAAUGCGUUGAUAUCCAGCGGAACUCCGGUGGCGAAGGCGAGGUGCUGGACCCUUUCUGACGCUGAGUGCGCGAAAGCCAGGGGAGCAAACGGG